rnacentral:tRNA from 3 species
CUAAGGAUGAUCCUUCAGCUUAGCUUCGGCUAACUAUCGGAUCGUUUUAGAAACAUCAGUGGCCAACGGUCGUCAGGAUCGUUGAGCUGCAUUGGCGGGAUUUCGCCGUCUUCGUUUCUCUUUCUUCGCGGACGAACACGCGCUGGGCCUGCAUGGUUGCAGGAUCCCGGUCCUUAACUGGAUAUGCGUUAGGGGCUUGUAGCUCAGUUGGUUAGAGCGCGCGCUUGAUAAGCGUGAGGUCGGAAGUUCAAGUCUUCCCAGGCCCACCACACUCAUCGAGUGAGCAUUCGUCUUCUGGUUACGGGGCCAUAGCUCAGCUGGGAGAGCGCGUGCUUUGCAAGCAUGAGGUCGUCGGUUCGAUCCCGUCUGGCUCCACCAGAUGGUUUGAUCACCGACAACUCAACCGUCGUCCGCGAAACAUCACUUCGCACCCACUAGUCCGGAUGGACAGUGACGUGCGUGAUUUCUGACAUCGUAAAGAGGAGAUCGAUCCGAGUUGGAUCGUGCAGAAGAUUUCUGCGCGGUACUCCAUUAUCUCCGGAUCAUUUCGGCGCUCGUGCGUCUUCCAGGGUAGCUCACAAGGCUGCAUUGAAAGACAAGCGAGUUGUAAAUGAUCCUUUUAGCGAAGCUUGACCGCCUCGCUAUCGGAACGAUCUUACGAAGCAAGCUGGUCUUUCUAAUCAUUGUCCGGCUGUACGUAGCGUUCAUCGAGGGCGCGCGCCGCAAGGCAAUCGUACAGACAACAUUCUGCCGAGUGUGUGGACAUUGAUAAUGAGAGC